CCUGUGAGCCAGCACUACUUUUCUCUCAACCAUCUUCCAUCCAAGCAAGCAGCUCUUCCCUGCCAGUGCUGCUGCUUGGAGAACCAGAAAUCCUGUGCUGUCCUUUGCAUGUUGAUAAACAAAGCAGUGGCUUCUUCCCCCGGGGAAUGAAAGGGGAAGGUCUUGG